UAGAGUUCUUAGCCACACCCCUUUAGUGGUCAUGUGAUGAUGAGGUCACAGGACUCCAACAUGGACGACACUGGAGCCUCUCAGGUGUGCAGACGUGUGUUUUCUCAACCCAUUCCUCAGAUGCUGCGUAUUUGAGGAAAGCGUAUGAUCUGCUUCGAGCGUCUGAUGCCAGAUCUCAGUCUGAGCUCAGUGUUUUGUGUGCUGAACAGUGUCUACAGCUGGGCUGCUGGGAAAUGGCUGAGGACUGUUUAAUGAUGUUCUGGGAAAGGAAAGCUCCAGUGAAUCAGUUCCUGUGUCGUGCACAUCUCUGCCAGGGUCAGCUCAUCUCCUCACGCUCCAUUAACACAGCGGAGGACUUGGAGAAGGCUGUGAUGUGCUUCCUGAAGGCCAUAGAGAUUGCCAAAGACAAGUGCAGAUACCAUUUCCUAGUCUUCAACGCUUCUCUGCUGUACUUCCAAGCGGUCCGGCGGUUCCUGAGGCCCGGUCAGCGGCAUCUCCUGGUGAAUUCACUCUCGCAGGUUCUCAAGGCUCUGGAGGAGGUUCAGGAUCCGGAUCACGCAUGGAGAGCUGAGCUGAUGCUACAUCUGGUUGAAUGUUUGCUGGAUGCUGGGAAGAGGACAGAAGCUGCUGACAUGGCGAAGGUCACCUACCAGUUUAUAGAUGCACAUAACCCAGAGCUGCGUCCCAGGAUCGUCUCCAUACUGGUUCGACACAACCUCAUGGAUGUCUCUAAGAUGUUGAAGGAUGAAAACCCACAACUGCUCGUGAUCCACAAGAUCCAAAAGCUCAAACAUAUGGUUGAUGUCAGUGAGAUAAAGAGAGAGGAUGGAGAGAACGCUCUGAUGGAGAUCCUCCAGCUCCUCAUCCAGACACCAAAACACAGAGCAUCCGUCAGCCACAGCUCCAGUGCUUCAUCCGUCAGCCGCAGAUCUGCUGCUUCACCCAACAUCAGCCCAAGAGGAUCUGCCACUCCACCUGUCAGCCCCAAAGAAUCCACUACUCCACCAUUAACCCCCAAAAUAUCCACUACUCCGCCCGAAGCUCCUAAAGGAUCAACUACUCCUCCCAUCAGCACCAGAGGAUCCACUACUCUACCCAUUGUGACCCCUAAAGUAUCAACCACUCCACCCUUAACCCCUAAAGGAUCCACUACUCCACAUUUAACCCCUAAAGGAUCCACUACUCCACCCAUAACCCUUAAAAGAUCCACUACUCCACCCAUAACCCCUAAAGAAUCUCCUACUCCACCUGUUUUGAGCCCCAGAGGAUCCGCUACUUCAAUCGUCAGCUCCAGAGCAUCCAUCAGCUCCAGUCUGGACCACAGCUCCUCCAUCCCACUGAGUGACAGGGUUGAUCUGCUGUUGGAGCUGGCGUUUCUCUCUCUGCAGCUCCAGCAUCCCCAGACAGCCGUCCUCUGCCUGAAGGAGCUCAGAGAGACACAGGGACUCACGGUGGGUCAGCGUGUUCUUCUGGAGUGUGUGCAGUGUGAGCUCGACCUUCACACACACCCACACCGGAUAGAGAAAUACUCCAGAUCUGCUGUGGAGUUCCAGCUAAGUGUGUUGCUGCGUCUGGAGGCGCUGCUGCAGAAGGCCAUGAAGGAAGCAGACGCUGCGGUGGUUCAGGCAGUGUGUGUGUGUGUGUGGAACACGUGUCUGCCGCUGCUACAACACAACCUGAGGAGGAGAGUCAAGAAACCACUGAUCACACUCACUCGCGCACUGGAGGACACACACAGUGUGCUGCUGGAUGUCCUGUGCUGUGCUCAUGCUGAACUGGCGUCUGUCUCCGAGGACGAGGAGAGUCUGGAGUCUGCAGUAACUCACCUGGAGAGAUCAGUGUGUGUGUGUCCCCAGAGCGAGCGUCUGUCCUCCCGCCUGCACCACCUCUGUCUGCGUGCCUCCAUGCACAAACACACCACUCCUGCUGGAGCCCUGGAUCACGCACACACACUCAUACUGCAGGUGCCAAUGCAAAAACACACUCACUCUCUGUCUGUAACGAGAUGUGUUUGGGGAUGUUUACGCCUGGGCUCAGAGUUUAUAAAUAUGCGUUAGUGUUUUCACGAUACUGGAAUUCAGUACCAGUCGAUACUAAAAUUUUAAAACGCUUUCCUGCUAACAUUUGAGCGCUGUUGAGCAUGUUCUUAGGGUGCACUCACUAUGCUGUUCGAACCUUGCCCAGACGCGUUACCCAGUUUGUUUGACAAGUAUCAUCGGCCUCAGGUGUGGUUCUCUUGCAAGCCAUCUCUCCUGCAGUCAUACCAACACUGACUCUCAUAAUCAACACAUCUCUUGACUCUGGUUUAUUCCCCACUACAUUUAAGCUGGCA
ensembl:lincRNA